rnacentral:rRNA from 1 species
GGGGGGCAACCAUUCGAAAGGAUGGCUAAUACCGCAUACGUCCGGGAGCUCUGCGGAGCACCUGGGGAAAGCUAGGGAUCUUCGGACCUGGCGCUGAAGGAGGGGCCCGCGUCGCAUCAGCUCGAUGGUGAGGUAACGGCUCACCAUGGCAAAGACGCGUAGCUGGUCUGAGAGGAUGAUCAGCCACACUGGGACUGAGACACGGCCCAG